AGGGACUUGCUCAGAUAAUUAUGAAUAUGGAGAUGUGCUGGAGACAGCUGAAGAUUUCAUUCAAAACAACACAGUUUAAUGGAAAUUAGGUUGAGGUAUUCUGAUUCUCGAGGAGCCAAUCUGAUGUAACUUUGAAAAGCAAAAUGAUUUGUUCCAACUUACCUGCUGCCGCGGUUCUAUCAAUGAGGUGAUCGUCCUUUCUGCUGCUUCGAUACACUGUCUUCAGCAGAAACUAUGGAAUGCCGCUGAAUACUAUUGAACUUCUAUGGUCGAGUGUCUAUUGACUGGUUGCAUCACUGCCUGAUAUGGUAACUCAAACACCCAGGAAUGAAGAAGGCUGCAAAAAGUGGGCUUUGAAUGGGCAGGGAUGAUAAACAAGAAACUUCUGAACAUUUCCAAAAAUGAUUCAGCACCUCUGUUUCUCCUGUAUUUGUGCUCCUGGUCUCCUGCUGUAUCAACAUUAAUGUAAUCCCCUCUAUCGCCACAUGGUGGCUUUCACACCUCUCCAAAACAUCCCCACACACAGACCGGUCCUGAACCAACACAUUGAACUAGUCACACAGCAUUGAAACAGGCCCUUCUGUCCAACUCGUCCAUGUCAACUAAGAUGCCCCGUCUAAACUAGUCUCACCUGCCCACCUUUGGCCCAUAUCCUUCUAAACCUUUCCUAUCUGUGUACCUAGCUAAAUGUCUUUUAAAUGUUGAAAGGCUAUCGGCCUAUUGCAAGUUUAUGUACAGGGACAUAUCUAUCCAUGCACUGUAUACUUGUAUUCAUACUUAUGCAUUUCAAAUAUGUAUGCCAUGUUUUAUACUUUGGCAAUAUAACAAUGUUUUUUUUAUCAUGCCAAUAAAGUUUUUAAAUUGAAUUGAAUUGAAAAUUGA